CGGGGCCGCGCCGCCCUUCCCUGCCGCCACCGCUGCCGCCGCACGCGGCCCCGCUCCCAGCUGAGGACCGGCACUGAGUCACGGGCCGGGAAAGGCCGGCGAGGGCGACGGGAAGCGGCAGGCAAGGGGGGCCGGGGGCCGCGCAGCGUCCGGCUCCGCACGGCACCCGGCGCUGCAUUGCUCCGUGGCGUCCGGCUCCGCACGGCACCCGGGGCUGCAUUGCUCCGGGAACCGGGUGCCCAUGCACACGAGCCGGGUGUGGAGCCGGGAGCUGCAUUCCCGUGCUGGGAGCCGGGUGCCCAUGCACGAGCCGGGUGCCCACGCCGGGAACCGGGUGUGGAGCCGGGAGCUGCAUUCCCGUGCUGGGAGCCGGGUGCCCAUGCACGAGCCGGGUGCCCAUGCUGGGAACCGGGUGUGGAGCCGGGAGCUGCAUUCCCGUGCUGGGAGCCAGGUGCCCAUGCACGAGCCGGGUGCCCAUGCUGGGAGCUGGGUGUGGAGCCGGGAGCUGCAUUCCCAUGCUGGGAGCCAGGUGCCCAUGCACGAGCCGGGUGCCCGUGCCGGGAGCUGGGUGCCUGCGCUGCAAGCCGGGUGCCGGCACCGGGAGCCGGGCGCCCGCGCCAGGUGCUGCCAGCGGGCCAGGACACGGAGCGGCGGGCGCCGGCGGGUGCCCAGGAGCACGCGGCCUGGUGACGCAGGCGGCAGGAAUGCGGCCCGUCCGGGCGCGGGGGCGGGCGCCCGCCCCACUGCCACUGCCGCCGCCGCCGCUGCCGCUGCCGCUGGGAAAGGACAUUUCUGUGCCGGCCGCGCGUGUCCCCGCACCACGGCUCCGGGCAGGAUGGGGCCCGUGGCCGCGGCGGGCGAGGGAGGGGGCAGCGAGCGAGGGCACGUGUGCGCGUUGCAGGGUGCGCGCCUUGCAGCGUGCGUGUGUGUCCGUGCAGUGUGCGUGCGUUGCAGCACGUGCACACUGCCACGUGUGCGUGCAUUGCAGCGUGCGUGUGUCCAUGCGGUGUGCGUGCAUUGCAGCGUGUGCGUGCACUGCAGCACGUGCACACUGCCACGUGUGCGUGCAUUGCAGCGUGCGUGUGUCCAUGCGGUGUGUGUGCAUUGCAGCGUGUGCGUGCACUGCAGCGUGUGCACACUGCCACGUGUGCGUGCAUUGCAGCUGGUGUGUGUCCAUGCAGUGUGCGUGCAUUGCAGCGUGUGCGUGCACUGCAGCGUGUGCACACUGCCACGUGUGCGUGCAUUGCAGCGUGCGUGUGUCCAUGCGGUGUGCGUGCAUUGCAGCGUGUGCACACUGCCACGUGUGCGUGCAUUGCAGCGUGCGUGUGUCCAUGCGGUGUGUGUGCAUUGCAGCGUGUGCGUGCAUUGCAGUGUGUGCACACUGCCACAUGUGCGUGCAUUGCAGCGUGCGUGUGUCCGUGCGGUGUGUGUGCAUUGCAGCAUGUGCAUGCAUUGCAGCGUGUGCACACUGCCACGUGUGCGUGCAUUGCAGUGUGCGUGUGUCCAUGCAGUGUGCGUGCAUUGCAGCGUGUGCGUGCAUUGCAGUGUGUGCACACUGCCACAUGUGCGUGCAUUGCAGUGUGCAUGUGUCCGUGCGGUGUGCGUGCAUUGCAGUGUGUGCACACUGCCACGUGUGUGUGCAUUGCAGCAUGCGUGUGUCCAUGCAGUGUGCGUGCGUUGCAGUGUGUGCGUCCAUUGCAGUGUGUGCACACUGCCACG
ensembl:lncRNA